CUCUCUCUCUCAACAAAAUCACUUCGGGUUAAAAUCAAGUGAAGUAUCUGUUCUCACCAGUUUAAUAACUGAUAUAUUUUCUAUCCAAAAACAAUAUACUAAAUAAGAUUUUUGGAGCAGGAAGAUGGCAUAGGAGCUUGCUCCAUUCACUUCACACUCAGACAUGGCAUUGUAGUACCUCCAAGUACAGUGUACCCCCU